rnacentral:rRNA from 1 species
GAUGAACGCUGACAGAAUGCUUAACACAUGCAAGUCUUUGGCGAAGCUGUGCUUGCACAGCCUAGCCAAGGCGGACGGGUGAGUAACGCGUAAGGAACUUGCCCUGCAGUCAGGGAUAACAGACGGAAACGACUGAUAAGACCUGGUAAAAUCAGGCGGACUCAUGUCCAGCCUGAUGAAAAGAGAUGCUGCAGGAGAGCCUUGCGUCCUAUUAGCUUGUUGGUGGGGUAACGGCCCACCAAGGCGAUGAUAGGUAGCCGGCCUGAGAGGGUGGACGGCCACAAGGGGACUGAGAUACGGCCCUUACUCCUACGGGAGGCAGCAGUGGGGAAUAUUGGACAAUGGGGGCAACCCUGAUCCAGCAAUUCUGUGUGCACGAUGAAGGUUUUCGGAUUGUAAAGUGCUUUCAGCAGGGAAGAAAAAAAUGACGGUACCUGCAGAAGAAGCGACGGCUAAAUACGUG